UCGACGGUAACAGGAACACUUGCUCUUCCUGACGAGUGGCGGACGGGUGAGUAAUGUCUGGGAAACUGCCUGAUGGAGGGGGAUAACUACUGGAAACGGUAGCUAAUACCGCAUAACGUCGCAAGACCAAAGAGGGGGACCUUCGGGCCUCUUGCCAUCGGAUGUGCCCAGAUGGGAUUAGCUAGUAGGUGGGGUAACGGCUCACCUAGGCGACGAUCCCUAGCUGGUCUGAGAGGAUGACCAGCCACACUGGAACUGAGACACGGUCCAGACUCCUACGGGAGGCAGCAGUGGGGAAUAUUGCACAAUGGGCGUAAGCCUGAUGCAGCCAUGCCGCGUGUAUGAAGAAGGCCUUCGGGUUGUAAAGUACUUUCAGCGGGGAGGAAGGCGAUAAGGUUAAUAACCUUGUCGAUUGACGUUACCCGCAGAAGAAGCACCGGCUAACUCCGUGCCAGCAGCCGCGGGUAAUACGGAGGGUGCGAAGCGUUAAUCGGAAUUACUGGGCGUAAAGCGCACGCAAGCGGUCUGUCAAGUCGGAUGUGAAAUCCCCCGGGGCUCAACCUGGGGAACUGCAUUUCGAAAAACUGGCAGG
rnacentral:rRNA from 1 species